rnacentral:rRNA from 1 species
GCAAGCCGAGCGGUAUUUGUCUUUCGGGACAGAGAGAGCGGCGUACGGGUGCGGAACACGUGUGCAACCUGCCUUUAUCAGGGGGAUAGCCUUUCGAAAGGAAGAUUAAUACCCCAUAAUAUUUAGAAUGGCAUCAUUUUAAAUUGAAAACUCCGGUGGAUAGAGAUGGGCACGCGCAAGAUUAGAUAGUUGGUGAGGUAACGGCUCACCAAGUCUGCGAUCUUUAGGGGGCCUGAGAGGGUGAUCCCCCACACUGGUACUGAGACACGGACCAGACUCCUACGGGAGGCAGCAGUGAGGAAUAUUGGACAAUGGGUGGAAGCCUGAUCCAGCCAUCCCGCGUGAAGGAUGACGGCCCUAUGGGUUGUAAACUUCUUUUGUAUAGGGAUAAACCUAGAUACGUGUAUCUAGCUGAAGGUACUAUACGAAUAAGCACCGGCUAACUCCGUGCCAGCAGCCGCGGUAAUACGGAGGGUGCAAGCGUUAUCCGGAUUUAUUGGGUUUAAAGGGUCCGUAGGCGGAUCUGUAAGUCAGUGGUGAAAUCUCACAGCUUAACUGUGAAACUGCCAUUGAUACUGCAGGUCUUGAGUGUUGUUGAAGUAGCUGGAAUAAGUAGUGUAGCGGUGAAAUGCAUAGAUAUUACUUAGAACACCAAUUGCGAAGGCAGGUUACUAAGCAACAACUGACGCUGAUGGACGAAAGCGUGGGGAGCGAACAGGAUUAGAUACCCUGGUAGUCCACGCCGUAAACGAUGCUAACUCGUUUUUGGUAUUUCGGUAUCAGAGACUAAGCGAAAGUGAUAAGUUAGCCACCUGGGGAGUACGUUCGCAAGAAUGAAACUCAAAGGAAUUGACGGGGGCCCGCACAAGCGGUGGAUUAUGUGGUUUAAUUCGAUGAUACGCGAGGAACCUUACCAAGGCUUAAAUGGGAAAUGACAGGUUUAGAAAUAGACUUUUCUUCGGACAUUUUUCAAGGUGCUGCAUGGUUGUCGUCAGCUCGUGCCGUGAGGUGUUAGGUUAAGUCCUGCAACGAGCGCAACCCCUGUCACUAGUUGCCAUCAUUAAGUUGGGGACUCUAGUGAGACUGCCUACGCAAGUAGAGAGGAAGGUGGGGAUGACGUCAAAUCAUCACGGCCCUUACGCCUUGGGCCACACACGUAAUACAAUGGCCGGUACAGAGGGCAGCUACACAGCGAUGUGAUGCAAAUCUCGAAAGCCGGUCUCAGUUCGGAUUGGAGUCUGCAACUCGACUCUAUGAAGCUGGAAUCGCUAGUAAUCGCGCAUCAGCCAUGGCGCGGUGAAUACGUUCCCGGGCCUUGUACACACCGCCCGUCAAGCCAUGGAAGUCUGGGGUACCUGAAGUCGGUGACCGUAACAGGA